AUUGAACGCUGGCGGCAGGCCUAACACAUGCAAGUCGAACGAGUGGCGGACGGGUUAGUAAUGUCUGGGAAACUGCCUGAUGGAGGGGGAUAACUACUGGAAACUGUAGCUAAUACCGCAUUCCCUCAGAUUUGCCCACAUGGGCUUGGCUAGUUGGUGGGGUAACGGCUCACCAAGGGCACGAUCCAUAGCUGGUCUGAGAGGAUUACAAGCCAAACUGGAACUGAGACACGGACCAGAAUCCUACGGGAGGCAGCAGUGGGGAAUAUUGCACAAUGGGAGCAAGCAUGAUAAAGCCAUGCCGCGUGUAUGAAGAAGGCCUUCGGGUUGUAAAGUACGUUCAGCGGGGAGGCGUUAACCGCAGAAGAAGCACCGGCUAACUCCGUGCCAGCAGCCGCGGUAAUAC
rnacentral:rRNA from 1 species